rnacentral:rRNA from 1 species
UAUUGGAUCCAGCUUUGAUUAUGGCUCAGGAUGAACGCUAGCGACAGGCCUAACACAUGCAAGUCGAGGGGCAGCGAAGAGGUAGCAAUACCUUUGUCGGCGACCGGCGCACGGGUGAGUAACACGUAUGCAAUCCACCUGUAACAGGGGGAUAACCCGGAGAGAUCCGGACUAAUACCCCAUAAUAUGGGCGCUCCGCAUGGAGAGCCCAUUAAAGAGAGCAAUUUUGGUUACAGACGAGCAUGCGCUCCAUUAGCCAGUUGGCGGGGUAACGGCCCACCAAAGCGACGAUGGAUAGGGGUUCUGAGAGGAAGGUCCCCCACAUUGGAACUGAGACACGGUCCAAACUCCUACGGGAGGCAGCAGUGAGGAAUAUUGGUCAAUGGUCGGCAGACUGAACCAGCCAAGUCGCGUGAGGGAAGACGGCCCUACGGGUUGUAAACCUCUUUUGUCGGAGAGUAAAGUACGCUACGUGUAGUGUAUUUGCAGUAUCCG